rnacentral:rRNA from 1 species
UAAUACAGAGGUGGCAAGCGUUGUUCGGAAUUACUGGGCGUAAAGGGCUCGUAGGCGGCCAACUAAGUCAGACGUGAAAUCCCCAGGCUUAACCUGGGAACUGCGUCUGAUACUGGAUGGCUUGAAUUCGGGAGAGGGAUGCAGAAUUCCAGGUGUAGCGGUGAAAUGCGUAGAUAUCUGGAGGAAUACCGGUGGCGAAGGCGGCAUCCUGGACCGACAUUGACGCUGAGGAGCGAAAGCUAGGGGAGCAAACGGGAUUAGAUACCCCGGUAGUCCUAGCCCUAAACGAUGAAUGCUUGGUGUGGCGGGUAUCGAUCCCUGCCGUGCCGAAGCUAACGCAUUAAGCAUUCCGCCUGGGGAGUACGGUCGCAAGGCUG